UGACUUCGGUCAACGCGAACCGACCCACAUUGUUGCGGGAAGCUGUAGGGGGACGCAGGAAGGUAGAUGAACCCGGUGAAUGGUAGAACCGGGGUAAGCGUGUAGGAGGAGGACCAGGUAAAUCCGGGCCUCAUAAACUCUGAGACGUGAUACCGAGCCGCUUCAGGCGAAGUCAUUGAUCCUAUGCUGCCUAGAAAAGCCCAGCAGCGAGUUGGCAUGGUGCCCGUACCCCAAACCAACACAGGUGGACAGGCAGAGCAUACCAAGGCGAGUGGGAUAACUAUGGUUAAGGAACUCGGCAAAUUGCCUCCGUAACUUCGGGAGAAGGAGGACCCCAGUAGCGUGAUGAGACUUGCUCUCUGAGCGUGAAGGGGUGGCACAAAAUUGAGGGAAGCGACUGUUUACCAAAAACACAGCAGCGUGCUAAGCCGUAAGGCGCUGUAUACGCUGUGACUCCUGCCCGGUGCUGGAAGGUUACGGGGAUGGGUUAGUCCUUCGGGACGAAGCUCUGAACCUAAGCCCCAGUAAACGGCGGCCGUAACUAUAACGGUCCUAAGGUAGCGAAAUUCCUUGUCGGGUAAGUUCCGACCUGCACGAAUGGAGUAACGACUUCCCUACUGUCUCAACCAUAGACCCAGCGAAAUUGAAGUACGAGUAAAGAUGCCCGUUAGCUGCAGAAGGACGGAAAGACCCCGUGGACCUUUACUAUAACUUGAUGUUGUGUUUUGUCAUAUGUUGUGUAGGAUAGGUGGGAGACUUGGAAGCAUGGACGCUAGUCUGUGUGGAGUCAUCGUUGAAAUACCACCCUGCAUAUGGUGAGGCUCUAACCUAGACCCGUUAUCCGGGUUGGGGACAGCGUCAGGCGGGUAGUUUAACUGGGGCGGUUGCCUCCUAAAGAGUAACGGAGGCGCCCAAAGGUUCCCUCAGCCUGGUUGGCAAUCAGGCGUUGAGUGCAAUGGCAAAAGGGAGCUUGACUGCGAGACCUACAAGUCGAGCAGGAGCGAAAGCUGGGCAUAGUGAUCCGGCGGUUGCGUGUGGAAGCGCCGUCGCUCAACGGAUAAAAGGUACCCCGGGGAUAACAGGCUAAUCUUGCCCAAGCGUCCAUAGCGACGGCAAGGUUUGGCACCUCGAUGUCGGCUCAUCGCAUCCUGGGGCUGAAGCAGGUCCCAAGGGUUGGGCUGUUCGCCCAUUAAAGCGGUACGCGAGCUGGGUUCAGAACGUCGUGAGACAGUUCGGUCCCUAUCCUCUGCAGCCGGAGGUGAAUUGAGGAAAGCUGUCCCUAGUACGAGAGGACCGGGACGGACGCAGCUCUCGUGUGCCAGUUGUCCUGCCAAGGGCAUGGCUGGUUAGCGACCUGCGGAAAGGAUAACCGCUGAAAGCAUCUAAGCGGGAAGCCUCUUCCAAGAUGAAUUCACCCACAGGGUUAACCUGGUAAGGCCCGUGGUAGACCACCACGUUGAUAGGCCGGAAGUGUAAGCGUGGCAACACGUUCAGCUGACCGGUACUAAUCGGCC
rnacentral:rRNA from 1 species